GCAGCCGCGGUAAUACGUAGGUGGCGAGCGUUAUCCGGAAUCAUUGGGCGUAAAGAGGGAGCAGGCGGCAGCAAAGGUCUGCGGUGAAAGACCGAAGCUAAACUUCGGUAAGCCGUGGAAACCAUGCAGCUGGAGUGCAGCAGAGGAUCGUGGAAUUCCAUGUGUAGCGGUGAAAUGCGUAGAUAUAUGGAGGAACACCAGUGGCGAAGGCGACGAUCUGGGCUGUAACUGACGCUCAGUCCCGAAAGCGUGGGGAGCAAAUAGGAUUAGAUACCCC
rnacentral:rRNA from 1 species